CCCUUGAAGUAGGGGAUAACACUUGGAAACAGGUGCUAAUACCGUAUAACAACCAAAACCACCUGGUUUUGGUUUAAAAGACGGCUUCGGCUGUCACUUUAGGAUGGACCCGCGGCGUAUUAGCUUGUUGGUAAGGUAACGGCUUACCAAGGCGAUGAUACGUAGCCGACCUGAGAGGGUAAUCGGCCACAUUGGGACUGAGACACGGCCCAAACUCCUACGGGAGGCAGCAGUAGGGAAUCUUCCACAAUGGACGAAAGUCUGAUGGAGCAACGCCGCGUGAGUGAUGAAGGGUUUCGGCUCGUAAAACUCUGUUGUUGGAGAAGAACAGGUGUCAGAGUAACUGUUGACAUCUUGACGGUAUCCAACCAGAAAGCCACGGCUAACUACGUGCCAGCAGCCGCGGUAAUACGUAGGUGGCAAGCGUUGUCCGGAUUUAUUGGGCGUAAAGCGAGCGCAGGCGGUUUUUUAGGUCUGAUGUGAAAGCCUUCGGCUUAACCGGAGAAGUGCAUCGGAAACCGGGAGACUUGAGUGCAGAAGAGGACAGUGGAACUCCAUGUGUAGCGGUGAAAUGCGUAGAUAUAUGGAAGAACACCAGUGGCGAAGGCGGCUGUCUGGUCUGUAACUGACGCUGAGG
rnacentral:rRNA from 1 species